rnacentral:rRNA from 1 species
CAGCUGCGAGACUUGGUGUGAAUUGCAGGACACAUUGAGCACUGAUUUUUCGAACGCACAUUGCGGCCUCGGGUCCUACCCGGGGCCACGUCUGUCUGAGGGUCGGAUAUACGCAUGCAGAAGGAGUUCUCUCCUGUAUGGUCGCACCGGAGGGUCUCCUCUUCUCUUCGCGAGAGGGAGAACCUUCGCCGACCCAAGGCUUGCGUUGCUCCGCCGGUCCAGAAGCGUCCCGCAUAGGAUGCUCGCGACUGGGGUUGGCGAUCUAUUAAUGUGCCACCAGAUGCGCGAGACUGCGGUCGAAGAAGACGCGGAGCCGGCGGGACGCCCCCCGCUCUGUUGUUUCCGACAGUGCAUCCAUCCUGUCGACCUCAGAUCAGGCGAGACGACCCGCUGAAUUUAA